GAAAGAAACCAUGAACAGAAGAUCCUCCAGUGGGAAGGGAAGCCGGGAAAAGCAGCCCUCCAGGGACCAUUCUGCCUGGAUUUGGAUAUGGGGAAGUCCUGGGCAGGAGGCCGAGGGGCAGAGGCACUGAAGCCUGAAACAGGGCACCCCCUCUCACAGAGGACUGCACCUUGGACCCUGCUGUCCCUUCAGCUGUCCAGAGCCCUUCCAGGCCAGAAGUGGCAAACAGUCCUGAGAGACAUGGAGGUCCUGGAGAUUCUUGGAGAGGGCCAGGCACCACUCUGGGCCUUGUCUGUUAGACGGAUUCCUCCACCAUCUCUCAUACCUCUCCUCCUUCGUGUACAGGGAGGGGGCGGGGAGAGGGGCGCCUCCUUGCCGCAGUCCCAGGGCCCCAAGGUGAGAAGUAAGAGGUGGGGAAGGGCCUCACCGUGUCCUGGGCUGUAGGGCCGGGCCAGGCCAGGUACAGGGAGGUCCUUGUCCCAAAGACUCCAGAAUCGUAACCCUCAAGCACUUCCUACUGUGAGGAGCUACAAAGCAAGCCGGGGUCUCCUCAGCAGGGUAUUAUGACACCCUCACAUCCCAGCAGUGGAAGGACACUGGUGUGUCACUGAGCACACUGUCUUGCUCGGCUGCAAGCCCGCAGCUUUGGCCUCAGCUGUUAAUCCUCUCAGAAUAGGACGGACCAGUGGCAGGGAGGAACGCGCGUCUGCCUGUGGAAUGAGAGACUGUGAUUUCUUAACCUUGAUGGAAAAGGGGAAAGCCACAUCUUACCAAACUCUUCCGCUGCGUCGUAGGGAAUUUAAUUACAUUUGGACAUUUGAAUGAGAAGCAGAUGUGGCUCUGGCCCGCCGGCCAGCAGCUCUCAAAGGACAGCCACUCUCCUGUGGUCUGCAGGGCUCAGUGCUAUCUCGUCACGCUGGAGGGUAGCUCGGGGAGACCCCUUCCUGGGAACUAGGAGCCGUACACGCCCAGUGAGGUCACUAGAGCAGACCCUCCCCUCCUGUGCCACAGAUGCUGACGCAGAUGAGAAGUGAAGUGACUUGCCCAGGUCAUUUGGCACAUCUGUGACAGAACUGAGGCCAGAGUGAAGUCUCGGCCUCCUCGCACAGUCCUCCUCCUCCCUGGGCCAUCCACAGGGAGUGGUAGGGCAGGGCUUCUCCCACAUCUGGCCGAUCCUGAGCAUGGCUCCAGCCAGUCCUCAGAUACAUCCAAACCAGCGACAGAGGAGCUGGG
rnacentral:lncRNA from 1 species